rnacentral:rRNA from 1 species
AGAGUUUGAUCCUGGCUCAGAUUGAACGCUGGCGGCAUGCUUUACACAUGCAAGUCGGACGGCAGCACAGAGAAGCUUGCUUCUUGGGUGGCGAGUGGCGAACGGGUGAGUAACAUAUCGGAACGUACCGAGCAGUGGGGGAUAACUAAUCGAAAGAUUAGCUAAUACCGCAUAUAUUCUGAGGAAGAAAGCAGGCGACCAUUUGGCCUUGCGCUGUUUGAGCGGCCGAUAUCUGAUUAGCUGGUUGGUGGGGUAAAGGCCUACCAAGGCGACGAUCAGUAGCGGGUCUGAGAGGAUGAUCCGCCACACUGGGACUGAGACACGGCCCAGACUCCUACGGGAGGCAGCAGAAGGG